CAGAAGUUUCCGUGCAGUCAGAAUCAAACUGCGGUCUGAGCAAACCUGGCAGGAAAACCAGGCGUGGGGUUGGAAGAACAACUUCUGUCAAGACAGUUCUUGAAGAUUCAAAACUUGUACUUGGUAAAGCAGAAGAGGCAAUUAAGGGUAAGAAGCCAAGUGGAGUGAUUGGUGUUUCUAUUGGUGUGGAUGAAGGACAUGCAGUUGUUGGUAGUAUGGAUCCAAUUGUGGCCCCAGCAUUAGAAGAUGCAGAAGUUUCCGUGCAGUCAGAAUCAAAUUGCGGUCCUAGCAAACCUGGCAGGAAAACCAGGCGUGGGGUUGGAGGAACAAAUUUUGUCAAGACAGUUGUUGAAGACUCAAAAGUUGAAGCUCUACCUGAUCCAUCCGUUAAUGACCAUAGUAGUAAUAUGGAUCAAAUUGCGGCCCCGGCAUCAGAAGUUCCAGAAGUUUCCAUGCAGUCAGAAUCGAAUUGCGGCCCCAUCAAAC
rnacentral:lncRNA from 1 species